rnacentral:lncRNA from 1 species
AUGGAGGCGCCUUGGGAGGACGCGUCGCUGCAGGGCUCCUGGGUGGAGGUGCCUCCUUUCGGGCAGGAGCCGCCCAUGCUGGCCUGCGCGCCCUGCGGCGGCGACCUGGAAGCGGUCCUGUUGGAAGCCCAGAUGGAGGCGGAGCGCGGCGACGGUCCACUCCUGGCAUUGAAAGUACCCGCUGCAGAGGACCUGAGUGUGGGGCAGAGGGAAGACCUGGAGAGCCCGGUCCAGAGGGGGGUCCUGGCUUGGCCAUGGUCUAGCGCCCCUGAACAUCUCUCCUCCAAGGAGUCAGCCUGUAUUUCCCCUGUGGUAACGUGCCCCUCCUUGCUCAGCCCGGCUCUGCACAGGAGGAGGGGGCUGCGGGACCCCCAGCUGCUACUCCUCAUCAUCCCCUCUCUGCUACUCAGCCAUGUCGUGGCCCUAGGCCUUGGCAUCUGCAUCGGCAAGCGCCUGGCCACCUCCUCGGCAAGCAGCCUGUGAUGGGGCACAGCCAUCUCUCCCUGGAUCCCUCUCUUCAGAGCCCUGCUCCCCCCUCUCCCUGAAUGGCCAGCUGAGGAGAGAUCCCCAAGCCAGGAUCAUUUCCCCAGGACCUUCUCCUGCCUGAAAAAAAGAGAAGAAACGAUGGAAAGAGCUUGCAAUCCAAAUAUCAUGUGUGUCUCAAUCUUUCUGGGCCUCAGGGGCCACAUCCGAACCCCCCCCAAAGUCUUGAUGGCCUCAGCCCCCAAGCCCCUUCUCCUGUCGAGGGGCAAGGAUUCUGCAGCUCCCUUCUUUUCUGGGCAGCUUGCUGGGGAGGGUGGGCCUGGUUUUUGACUGACAUAGAGAAGAUAGAUUUUUAAAUGCAGCAUAUGAGUGGCUUGUGGAAAUCCCUAGCACUAGAAGCCAUGGCAGGUGGUAUGCAAUAUUACCAAACCCAUCCAGGCAAAUUGGGGGCUCAAUGAACGAUAGGGAAGGAGACAGAGAAGCCCAGCCCGUUGUCCGCGGACAGAUUUCAAGGCUGCUGAAAUGGGGGGGGGAGGGGGCUCUGGCUCUUCCCCUUCCUGCUCAGUCCUUGGACCCAAAUGUUGGAACACCAGCUGGUUAGCAGGAGGGCACUCAGGCCAGAACGGCCCCCUCCCUGCCACCGGCCGCGUGCAGGCUGCCUCGCUCACCCUCAGCAUUAGAACUCCGCGGACUGCUCUCCUCUGCAGACUUGACCGCGACGCCCUUCCUUUCCGUGAAUAAACCCUGGUGAAAAGCUCUUGGUCGCCCA